GUGCAGCAGGCGCGAAUACUUUACAAUGUGCGAAAGCACGAUAAGGGAACUCUGAGUGCCUCCUAAGGAGGCUGUUCAGGCGUCUAAAAGCACCUGAAGGAAGGGCUGGGUAAGACCGGUGCCAGCCGCCGCGGUAACACCGGCAGCCCAAGUGGUAGCCACGUUUAUUGGGUCUAAAGCGUCCGUAGCCGGCUGGGUAAGUUCCUUGGGAAAUUUGGCUGCUUAACAGUCAAGCUUUCAGGGAAUACUGCCCGGCUUGGGGACCGGGAGAGGUCAGAGGUACUCCAGGGGUAGGGGUGAAAUCCAUUAAUCCUUGGGGGACCACCGGUAGCGAAGGCGUCUGACCAGACCGGGUCCGACGGUGAGGGACGAAGGCUAGGGGC
rnacentral:rRNA from 1 species